rnacentral:rRNA from 1 species
CCUACGGGGGGCAGCAGUGGGGAAUAUUGGGCAAUGGGCGCAAGCCUGACCCAGCAACGCCGCGUGAAGGAAGAAGGCUUUCGGGUUGUAAACUUCUUUUCUCAGGGACGAAGCAAGUGACGGUACCUGAGGAAUAAGCCACGGCUAACUACGUGCCAGCAGCCGCGGGAAUACGUAGGUGGCAAGCGUUAUCCGGAUUUACUGGGUGUAAAGGGCGUGUAGGCGGGAAAGCAAGUCAGAUGUGAAAACCCUGGGCUCAACCUGUGGACUGCAUUUGAAACUGUUUUUCUUGAGUACUGGAGAGGCAGGAGGAAUUCGUAGUGUAGCGGUGAAAUGCGUAGAUAUUAGGAGGAACACCAGUGGCGAAGGCGGUCUGCUGGACAGCAACUGACGCUGAGGCGCGAAAGCGUGGGGAGCAAACAGGAUUAGAUACCCGAGUAGUC